rnacentral:rRNA from 1 species
UCCAAAGUUCCGUUCCGCUGAGGGAUGGCUUUUUCCCCAAGUGUAGAUAGCCGGGGGAAUAAGGAGGGGGCAAGUCUGGUGUCAGCCAACGCAGUAAUACCAGCUCUCCGAGUGGUGGGGGCGUUUAUUGGGCCUGAAGCAUCCGUAGCCAGCUGAGCAAGUCCCCAGUUAAAUCCAGCGAUUUAAUCGUUGGACUGCUGGGGAUACUGUCCGGCUUGGGGGUGGGAGAGGCCGACGGUAUUCCCGGGGUAGGGGUGAAAUCCUAUAAUCCCGGGAGGACCACCAGUGGCGAAGGCUGUUGGCUAAAACAUGCCCGACGGUGAGGGAUGAAAGCUGGGGGAGCGAACCGGAUUAGAUACCCGGGUAGUCCCAGCUGUAAACGAUGCAGGCUAGGUGUUAGGGCGGCCACGUGCCGCUCUAGUGCCGCAGGGAAGCUGUUAAGCCUGCCGCCUGGGGAGUACGGCCGCAAGGCUGAAACUUAAAGGAAUUGGCGGGGGAGCAC